ACGGGGCUAAACCAUGCACCGAAGCUGCGGCAGCGACGCUUAUGCGUUGUUGGGUAGGGGAGCGUUCUGUAAGCCUGUGAAGGUGUGUCGUGAGGCAUGCUGGAGGUAUCAGAAGUGCGAAUGCUGACAUAAGUAACGAUAAAGCGGGUGAAAAGCCCGCUCGCCGGAAGACCAAGGGUUCCUGUCCAACGUUAAUCGGGGCAGGGUGAGUCGACCCCUAAGGCGAGGCCGAAAGGCGUAGUCGAUGGGAAACGGGUUAAUAUUCCCGUACUUGGUGUUACUGCGAAGGGGGGACGGAGAAGGCUAUGUUGGCCGGGCGACGGUUGUCCCGGUUUAAGCGUGUAGGUGUGUGUUCCAGGUAAAUCCGGUUCACUUUAACACUGAGGCGUGAUGACGAGGCACUACGGUGCUGAAGUAACAAAUGCCCUGCUUCCAGGAAAAGCCUCUAAGCAUCAGGUAACAUCAAAUCGUACCCCAAACCGACACAGGUGGUCAGGUAGAGAAUACCAAGGCGCUUGAGAGAACUCGGGUGAAGGAACUAGGCAAAAUGGUGCCGUAACUUCGGGAGAAGGCACGCUGACACGUAGGUGAAGUGAUUUACUCACGGAGCUGAAGUCAGUCGAAGAUACCAGCUGGCUGCAACUGUUUAUUAAAAACACAGCACUGUGCAAACACGAAAGUGGACGUAUACGGUGUGACGCCUGCCCGGUGCCGGAAGGUUAAUUGAUGGGGUCAGCGCAAGCGAAGCUCCUGAUCGAAGCCCCGGUAAACGGCGGCCGUAACUAUAACGGUCCUAAGGUAGCGAAAUUCCUUGUCGGGUAAGUUCCGACCUGCACGAAUGGCGUAAUGAUGGCCAGGCUGUCUCCACCCGAGACUCAGUGAAAUUGAACUCGCUGUGAAGAUGCAGUGUACCCGCGGCAAGACGGAAAGACCCCGUGAACCUUUACUAUAGCUUGACACUGAACAUUGAGCCUUGAUGUGUAGGAUAGGUGGGAGGCUUUGAAGUGUGGACGCCAGUCUGCAUGGAGCCGACCUUGAAAUACCACCCUUUAAUGUUUGAUGUUCUAACGUGGACCCGUUACCCGGGUUGCGGACAGUGUCUGGUGGGUAGUUUGACUGGGGCGGUCUCCUCCUAAAGAGUAACGGAGGAGCACGAAGGUUGGCUAAUCCUGGUCGGACAUCAGGAGGUUAGUGCAAUGGCAUAAGCCAGCUUGACUGCGAGCGUGACGGCGCGAGCAGGUGCGAAAGCAGGUCAUAGUGAUCCGGUGGUUCUGAAUGGAAGGGCCAUCGCUCAACGGAUAAAAGGUACUCCGGGGAUAACAGGCUGAUACCGCCCAAGAGUUCAUAUCGACGGCGGUGUUUGGCACCUCGAUGUCGGCUCAUCACAUCCUGGGGCUGAAGUAGGUCCCAAGGGUAUGGCUGUUCGCCAUUUAAAGUGGUACGCGAGCUGGGUUUAGAACGUCGUGAGACAGUUCGGUCCCUAUCUGCCGUGGGCGCUGGAGAACUGAGGGGGGCUGCUCCUAGUACGAGAGGACCGGAGUGGACGCAUCACUGGUGUUCGGGUUGUCAUGCCAAUGGCACUGCCCGGUAGCUAAAUGCGGAAGAGAUAAGUGCUGAAAGCAUCUAAGCACGAAACUUGCCCCGAGAUGAGUUCUCCCUGAGACUUUAGGUCUCCUGAAGGAACGUUGAAGACGACGACGUUGAUAGGCCGGGUGUGUAAGCGCAGCGAUGCGUUGAGCUAACCGGUACUAAUGAACCGUGAGGCUUAACCUUACAACGCCG
rnacentral:rRNA from 1 species